CAGAGGAUGGUGCUGAUGCUGCCCUGGUGCUGGCUCCCGGAUGGGCGGGUUUUAGUGUCCCAUCUUGCGGGUUUGGAACAAGGAGAUGAGGUCAAGGUCAGCGAUCUCCAGAGUCCACUCAGAUGGGUUUUGGGGGCUCCUCCUGGCGCUGCUUUGGGCAGGACAGUGGUGUGCAUCCUGGCUGCGUGUAUUUAUUUUUCUGUUGCAGGCGGAUCCAUCUCUAAGAAGUUCACCAGCUAGGCUGUCCCAUUUGUCUUCCACCAGACAUUAAAAAUAUUUUCCUUCAGGGAAGGAAAGCGCAUAUGGGAAACAGAGGAGAGCUCAGAGAAGAUAAACACUCAAGUGAAGCUGGCCUGUGAGGUGCCAUCAUGUGGCAACGGCCACAGCAGCUGGAGCAGGGAGACCUCCCCCAGCAAACUGCCUCCUGAGAAUUUGGACCCGGGGCUCCCAGAACCAGCAGUGGCUGUGUGACUGAACCAGGAGGGGAAGCUGGGCCGACCGACCUGAAGCCACUUCAGACCCAGGUUUUCUGAGUGCAGAGCCCUGUGCCCUUGCCCGUGGCCACCCUAUGUCCACCGUGCACCAUGUGAGUUUGGAAUCCCAACUCUUCAGACCUUACCGGCCGGAGAUCGGCUGUGGGUCAGAGACGCGAUGAGAGCUGAGCGACUGGAAGACGCUGACCCAGUGAGAGCCUGAGGUCCUCCCAGCGCGACACCUUCCUGGCCUCGGGCUUGGGAGCCUCCCGUAAACACGACAACCUAGGGCCCAUCACGGUUUCUACAACAAUGAGAAUAUUUAUUUUCUCCAGACGGUAAAAAUAACAUUUUUCUCUCUUUUGUAAAAGUACCAUUACAUUCCAUUUUCUUAAAUAACAAUCCUAAAAAUAUAUAUUAAAUUGUAUACAGUGCGUCACACUUCAUCUUAUAUUUUAAAAUACAUGAUGUUUCUAUUUUAUUCUCAAAGUUGUGUAUUAAGAGCAUAUUUACAAAUAAAGCCAUGUCAUCCAAAGUCAGGAUCCCUGCGGGAAGGUGAGUCUGGAUGUGGGCAGGUCCUGGCGCUGUGUGGACCCCUCGGCGGCAGCCCCUCAACCGUGUGCUCCUGAGGACACGUCCUUUCUGAAGCAGUAGAUUGACCUCAGACUUUCCUCCACACCCCACUGCUGCCUCGUUAAAUAUGUUCAACUUGGCAAGAUGGGAACCUGGGAGAUGGGCCCC